rnacentral:rRNA from 1 species
AUUGAACGCUGGCGGCAGGCUUAACACAUGCAAGUCGAGCGGAGAUGAGGUGCUUGCACCUUAUCUUAGCGGCGGACGGGUGAGUAAUGCUUAGGAAUCUGCCUAUUAGUGGGGGACAACAUUCCGAAAGGAAUGCUAAUACCGCAUACGUCCUACGGGAGAAAGCAGGGGAUCUUCGGACCUUGCGCUAAUAGAUGAGCCUAAGUCGGAUUAGCUAGUUGGGGGGGUAAAGGCCUACCAAGGCGACGAUCUGUAGCGGGUCUGAGAGGAUGAUCCGCCACACUGGGACUGGAACACGGCCCAGACUCCUACGGGAGGCAGCAGUGGGGAAUAUUGGACAAUGGGGGGAACCCUGAUCCAGCCAUGCCGCGUGUGUGAAGAAGGCCUUAUGGUUGUAAAGCACUUUAAGCGAGGAGGAGGCUACUGAGACUAAUACUCUUGGAUAGUGGACGUUACUCGCAGAAUAAGCACCGGCUAACUCUGUGCCAGCCGCCGCCGUAA